UCUAUAUACAGUCUAUGGUAUAAUCACAAUCCAGAAUCUAUAUGACAUACCUGCCAACAUUUGGGUUUGUAAAAUCUGUAUAUUUAUAAGUAAUAAGUAUAAGUGAAGCUGCACACUUUUUUGUUUUGUUUUAACAAAAACAAAUGGUAACAAAAAAAAAAAGAAUGGCUACGAUAUGCCUUGAACUUAUUUAGUCCACUAAUAUUGCUGUUAAAGUCCUCAUAUGUUUGAAUGCUCUUCUGUAUGAGGCUCUCUGAACAUCAGUGUGUGCAAUACAGCACUCUUUUAUCUGAGGCUGCCCUGAACGCAUCACUCCCAGAUGGUGCAAGACUCUCAACAUAAAUGUUAUAUCUCACGAUUAUUUACCUUUCAUUGAAGUGUUCAUUUUGCAAAUUACGCUGCUUAAAUAUAGUUUACAGCUUAAACCGACCUGAACUCCUGACUCCUCCUCCUGACUGGUGAACAUGCACAUUGGAUGAUUCCGUUCCUUGCUGUUGAACUGUGUGUGUAGUGUUUUGCUCCUCCUGAUAGCGUUCUUGCUAUUUGGGUUAUUUUCUCUUUUUAAUUUAUCAAUACAUCUGUUUGUUUAAAAGUCUGUGAGUAUAUCUGAUAGUUUUCACCAAGCACUGUCUUUAUCUCCAAAGACGUUUAUCCAGAAAUCUGGCCGAUUUUAUUAGUCCUUAUCACUGACAAUUUAGAGCGGAGACUAGGGAGCAGAGCCACAGUCCUACACGCUCCUCUGCAUUCCCCUCAGAGCAACUGCCUAGCUACAAUCAGUUUGAUAUAGAGACCAGGGAGCAGAGCUACAGUCCUACAUGCUUCUCUGCACUUUUGUUAGAGCAGCCUCCUCGUUAGUAUCACUUUAAUAAAGAGACUGUGUCUGUCCCUCAUCCUCGGCUCUUUAAUUCUAACUGAUCGAUUAACAAAGGAGUAAAAAACAAGAAUCUUACUAGAAUUAAAACUGCUAACAUAGCUGAACUGAGUAGUAAGAUAAAGUGUGGUCUACUGAACAUAAGGUCUCUAAGUUCCAAAUUUGUGUUAAUAAAUGAACUAAUCUCUGAUUACUCUCCCUGACUGAAACUUGGCUGUGUCAGGAUGAAUAUGUCAGUUUAAAUGAAUCCACUCCUCCUAGCCACCUAAGCCUUCACAUUCCUCAGGACUCUGGCCGAGGUGGUGGAGUUGAAGCAAUCUUCGAAUUAACCUUAGACCAAAACUGGAUUAUAACUCUUUUGAAAAUCUUGUCCUGGGGUAGGGCUGUGUUCAAAAAAUCGAUACGGCAGGAUAUCGUCACGAAUUUUUGCUGAUACUUGCAUCAAUACACACUUUAAAAUAAUCAAUAUUUCCACAGAUGCUGGGACUGGCGUUUCAAGACGUUUUUUUAGGUGCAGUACACAUAGCGGCCAGAGUUGGCAGCAGAAGCCGAUCUACACAUUUUCACCAAAAUAGAAGAAGUAUGGAAGAGAAAGUUUACCCACCACCGUCCAAGUUAAAAGCAAAGAUAUGGGCGCAUUUUGGAUUUUUGAGAUCAGCCGGAGGUCAGGAGUUGGACAUGAGC
rnacentral:lncRNA from 1 species